UACAGAGGGGGCAAGCGUUGUUCGGAAUUACUGGGCGUAAAGGGCGCGUAGGCGGCCUCUUAAGUCGAACGUGAAAUCCCCGGGCUCAACCCGGGAACUGCGUCUGAUACUGGAUGGCUAGAGAUUGGGAGAGGGAUGCGGAAUUCCAGGUGUAGCGGUGAAAUGCGUAGAUAUCUGGAGGAACACCGGUGGCGAAGGCGGCAUCCUGGACCAACACUGACGCUGAGGAGCGAAAGCCAGGGGAGCAAACGGG
rnacentral:rRNA from 1 species